CACCGUGGUCUUAGAGCAGUGGUCGAGCCUGACCCCAUGCCGAACUCAGAAGUGAAACGCCGUAGCGCCGAUGGUAGUGUGGGGUCUCCCCAUGCGAGAGUAGGGAACUGCCAGGU
rnacentral:rRNA from 1 species